GGAAGCGGAUAGGAUCUGGUGGUCCUUGCGGACUUCAAAUCCGUUAUUUCCUCGUCAGAAGCGGGGAAAGGUGGGUUCGAUUCCCACCCCUUCC
rnacentral:tRNA from 1 species